CUUUUCCCUUCCAUACUGGAAGAAGCUGACUUUCAUGGAGAAGGAUAGAAGAAUAACAUACAUUACGCCUUGCACGUUGUGUAGCGCCAGAAGGGAUAAUCCCUGGAGCACCAUGGUCUUUUUAGAAGUAUUUCCAGUAUCUUCACAAAGAAGUUCAUCAAGCUGAUUUUCUUAGGAAGGAAGAAAAACAUGGUCUGGGAAUAUAACGAAACCAUCAUAAGAUUUCUGAACUGCUUCCUUCAGAAGUUGAAUACUACAGAUAAAAGAAAACAGUAAACCAGAAGUAAACAACAUGCUCUUAAAGAAGCAAAUUUGUGAAAGCAUUCCAAAUUAUAAUUUUUCCAGAAUUAGGAAUUGGGAUGGUUUUCUAGUACAUAUUAAUUAAUUCUUUUAAUUAAUUCUUUACUAUAACUUUUUAGGGUUGUUGUUAGGGGGCAAAUAGGAAGGAGCAUUGUGUUUGUG